rnacentral:rRNA from 1 species
GAUGAACGCUGGCGGCGUGCCUAAUACAUGCAAGUCGAGCGAAUGGAUUAAGAGCUUGCUCUUAUGAAGUUAGCGGCGGACGGGUGAGUAACACGUGGGUAACCUGCCCAUAAGACUGGGAUAACUCCGGGAAACCGGGGCUAAUACCGGAUAACAUUUUGAACCGCAUGGUUCGAAAUUGAAAGGCGGCUUCGGCUGUCACUUAUGGAUGGACCCGCGUCGCAUUAGCUAGUUGGUGAGGUAACGGCGCACCAAGGCAACGAUGCGUAGCCGACCUGGGAGGGUGAUGGGCCACACUGGGACUGAGACACGGCCCAGACUCCUACGGGAGGCAGCAGUAGGGAAUCUUCCGCAAUGGACGAAAGUCUGACGGAGCAACGCCGCGUGAGUGAUGAAGGCUUUCGGGUCGUAAAACUCUGUUGUUAGGGAAGAACAAGUGCUAGUUGAAUAAGCUGGCACCUUGACGGUACCUAACCAGAAAGCCACGGCUAACUACGUGCCAGCAGCCGCCGCAG